CUACGGAGGGUGCAAGCGUUAAUCGGAAUUACUGGGCGUAAAGCGUACGUAGGCGGUUCGUUAAGUUAGAUGUGAAAGCCCCGGGCUUAACCUGGGAACUGCAUUUAAAACUGGCGAACUAGAGUUGAGUAGAGGGGAGUGGAAUUUCAGGUGUAGCGGUGCAAUGCGUAGAGAUCUGAAGGAACACCAGUGGCGAAGGCGACUCCCUGGACUCGAACUGACGCUGAGGUACGAAAGCGUGGGUAGCAAACGGGAUUAGAAACCCUAGUAGUCC
rnacentral:rRNA from 1 species